GCAGCCGCGGUAAUACGUAGGGGGCGAGCGUUGUCCGGAAUGAUUGGGCGUAAAGGGCGCGUAGGCGGCUUGUUAAGCCUGGAGUGAAAGUCCUGCUUUCAAGGUGGGAAUUGCUUUGGGAACUGAUGAGCUCGAGUGCAGGAGAGGAAAGCGGAAUUACCGGUGUAGCGGUGAAAUGCGUAGAGAUCGGUAGGAACACCAGUGGCGAAGGCGGCUUUCUGGACUGAAACUGACGCUGAGGCGCGAAAGCGUGGGGAGCAAACAGGAUUAGAUACCCC
rnacentral:rRNA from 1 species